UGGCUUUAGCUUAACGGUAAAGCAUCCGUCUGUGCAACGGAAGAUCAGGGUUCGAAUCCCAAAGUCAACCA
rnacentral:tRNA from 1 species